AAAACGUGAACCGCUUGGAUGAUAAACAGCAAUUUCCAAAAUUGAAGAGAUAGGACAAAUUUUACAUAAUAAUAUUAAGAAAUUCCAAUCGAAUUAUUUUUUUCCAUCCUCUUCAUGAUUAUACUUUGACAGAGGCCAUAGCAACCAAAUAAAGUUUUCAGACGAUGAAUCAACCAUUUUCCAUUCUGUUGAUCAUCAGGCGCAGUUUUUCAGCACAGAUCACAUUUCUUUCGUGGGAGUUAGCUUUAAAGAUAAUACCAUUAGAGAACUGAUAUAUCGCCAUAUUUUCAUCCUGAUAUAUUUUUCCGAUUAUAAAAGCUAAUUAUGAAAGAACAGAGCCAAGUGUCAAGUUGUCACCACACGGACGAAGACAUUUAUUUAUGUAUAUGUUGAGGAGCAUGAUGUACUACAAAGUAUUAUGAAAUGUAAUGGAAAACCCUGUGAAUAAACUGUACAAAUCAAGAUCACAGCUAUUUUGUUAUAAUGCAGGACACGUGUAAAAAUCAAUGAAACAUAAAAACUACAACAAAGAUUCUAUUAACCUCCUAGAAGCAGGUUCAAGAAAUCUGUGCGAACUUUUUCCCUCUCAUACUGAUAGAUCUGAGACUCUCUUGGAAAAUCGCUUAUAUAUAUCAGAUCCGAGGUUUUUCGAUUGCCCGUUAUUUUCUUUCUUCAGUUGCCAAAGGGUGGCCUAGAGACAAGAAGUGUCUGUUCGCAGAGGAAGGGGGUCAGGUUGAAUACACAUAGUUUUUGAACUCAUGUUCCGAUUAGCCGCGUACUUUUGCAGGUUAUUUUGAGCAGCCACUCGUUAAAUGUAGACAGUAAAUGUGUAUCCAAAAUGAGUCUUUGUUAAUAGACAUAAAAAUGAAUGCUUAUGAAAAAUACAAGUACGCAUACAGGUAUUAUUAUUAGCCUGAUCUACAAGGCUAAAAGUCUUCCAACUUGUGAAAUGUAAUUAAUUUUAAAAAACAAAUAAAAUGAAUAUAAAAUGACAAAUUAGAAAGUUCACAAGUUUUUCUCUCUAUAGAUUAGUUUCAUAUAAGUAUCCUCGAUUCAAAUGACUUUUGGAAUUUAGCUUUAGAAUACGAAAAUUUGUUACGAAUCUGUAAUGUUGCCCCCCGGCACGGUUAGUUCCAUCGCCAGAAAGACCAUUUUAUAAUUAGCUCUAUAGGAUGCUGAAUGGAUGUCGAACCAAUGACUCUCCAAGCUUGGCGACUUUGGCAACACAACUGAAGAUUCUAGAAUUUUCAGGAAUUUUGGCGAUAGGAUCAAUACGAGGCAAAUUGUGCCGAUUCAUCCAGAACUUUCUGCAUCCUGCUGCGGAAGCUAAAAAAGAAAGCCCGCAGAUCAAGCCGGUGUCAGUCAGUCAGUCAGUCAUUAAUGAGUUUGUUGGAUCAGUCCAACUAACCAGCAUCAGUUCAACUAAUCAGUUCAUCAGUCCAGCGAAGCACAAUCCAACCAUUUCAAUAUUACUGCAUUGCGGUAUCAGAUGUUUUGCUAUAAAUACUGAGUUGGACAAAAAAUAAAGAAAUCAUGCAAAUAAACACCGAAACUCUUUGUCAUGAAAACCAAAAUGUCGGACGAGAUUCUGUAUUUAUACAUUUGUUAUUUUAAUGUUAAAGAAACAAAAUUAUAACUUAUUUUCACUCAUUGUGAUAACUGAUUUAAACGGCACAGCGGGCAGAUGCGUUUCGUCUAAAAUGUGCUUUGUUAGUGCUAUAUGUGUUCAAGAGUUUAAAUGGUUGCCACAAUACAAAUUUAAUCGAUAAAAUAUAACGCAUUGGCAACGUAUAAUUAAUCAAUUGACCUCAUGUUCCACAUUCCUGAUAACGGAACGAAG